GGCGAACCCGCCCUGCGCCGCCGCCGUGAACCGCUCCGCCAGCGGUUUUCUCUCCCGCGGCCGCUCCUCCUGCUAGGGUUUCGGCGCUGCCGAACUCCCCGGCCACCAUCCCGCCCGCACCGUCCCAGCCUGUGUUCCCCGCGCCGCCGCCGUCCACAUCCAUCCCCGCGACCCCGCUGCUGAUGAAUCCGGCCACGCCGCCGGCCACUCCGGCCACCCCUACCACCACCCCGCCCGUGCCCUCCCCGCCGAACAGACCGCCAACGCCGCCAUCUUCGCUGCGCCGCCGGUGGCCCACCCUCCGAUUCGUGACAACCUCUGGCCGCCUGAUCAGUCCAGCACCGCCAUGACGAUCCCCUCGACGAGAAGACUCAGUUUUGCCACUCCCCGUCGCCUGCCACCCGCCGGAAAGCCGCCGCCGCGAGCAGUCCCCUAAGCGGCCGCCGUUGGCUGGAUUCCGGCCAUCCCUGUGAGUUCCCCUCAUCCUCCUCUACCUUUCCCCAACCCCCAUCGAAUUCCUUGCUCUCCGGAACGCCGGCUCGCUACCCAGAUCCACCGGCGGCCAUGGCCACGAACUCACUGAGCUUUUGCAUCCCAUGAACACAAGGUGCUUGUAUUUGGGUCUAAACCAAUUUCAUCACUAUUUUUUGAGUUCGACGAGAGCCUUGGGGGUGGAUUUGAAACAAGGUGCUUGUGCAUGUGCAGCCUUGGGGGUGCAUGUGCUUGUGCUUGUGCAUGUGCAGAGUUAGCGCAUCUUCAUAUAGCACUUAUAGUUUUUUUUCUUUGUGGUGGUGAUCUUGAUUUUGCAUACAGGCAAUCACAGCUGCAGGAACAAGAAAAAAUGAUUCCAUAUUUAGCGAGCUUCAAACCCAGAUUAAGAACAAGAAGUUGACAGUUCAUGUCAAGGCUAGCUCAGAGUCAGAUGUUAGCAGCAGUGCUAUGCAUUAUUUAGAAUUGUUUUCAUACAUAUUAUUUAAAAAAGCUUGCAGUUUGUGCUGAGUUCUUUGAUUCAUGGCUUAUCUCAUUUAUUUGACUCAUGCCUUAUGCUGCUCGGUGAAUUGUCAUGGUUUAAGUAAUCCUUUGAUACAUUUGAUAGUAUAUCUGCCACUUUGAACUGAAUGUGCCACAGACUUUUUUUUGGGCAAGGGUGGAUCCAUACAACAUUGGCAAGGGUGGUUAUCAGGCAAGCGAUGUACCAGUUGUGUUGCUUGUAGCAGGUUGCUCUGGUCAUGCUUUGGAACUACAAUUUGCAUCUGUAAAGGGAUCCUUGUGUUUGCAGUUCUGCCGUCCGACCCAAAAGUAAAUGGAACAAAAAGCAAGUUUCAACUCUGGUUAAUAUUCUCACUAUUGUUGCAGGCGUACCUCAAAUACCACUAGAGGCCUCAACUUGGGAUCCUACAAUGCUCCAACGGCCUUGGAUUUGCCGCAACAGAUGAGUACUGCACUCUGCGUGUUGUUAUAUCCAUUUAGCUGAAAUGUGGCUAAACCAAGAGGUGAUUAGUUUACCUUUUCACGAUAGACUGAUAUUGUCCAUCUAUAAUAUACUGAUGAUUUCAGGCUUCAGGUUAUUUGUAGCCUCUAAGAUAUUAAUUUGCAUGCCUGCCAUUUUCUUAUAGUUGUUUUCAGAUAGCUUCUUCAUCUCCACUUGUGCAAAAUUCAAGAACCCAGAUGCUGCAAUCAUGAUUAUGUAGAACCAUUUGGAAAGGGUGGGGACUCAGGAUUCACAUUCCAUAUAUAAGUAGCCAGAGCUUCGAUAGAUCAGUCACCCUCCAUCAGGAACAGGUGGAUUGAGUCCAAUCUUUUACUGGUCCCAGGUGAACUUGAUAAACAUAUGGCCCAUUGUGGAGGGAUCUUGUUUUGCAGUAAAAUAACUUCUAUAUUGUGCUAUUUUUUUAAUGCUCUGUGAGCAAAUGCUCUUUGAACAGAGAUAAGCUUGCUGAUUGGAUAAGAUUAGCUGAUGGACUGAUAGAUGCUUGUUUCAGAUAUCUGAUUGUGUUUGUAAUGGCUUCUUCACCUAGCUGUUUGCCUGUUCCAGUGGCCAUUACAAAGAAUUAUGCUGAGUGUCAUUUUUGGUUUUUGGAGUUGACAGAAGCCAUGGCUCAAAAUUUCAAGCUCCUGUGGCAAUGCAGAAUUACUGAAUGGCAGAUUAUAGAAUGCAUGUGAGUGCUUGGUUCCAGCCUUUGGGACGUGUGGAAUUCAAUGGGGUAGGCUUGGUGGAAGCAUGCAUCAAACCUCGCAAGCUACGAGCAACAGGAUGCACAUGAAUUUUUUUAUCUCCAUCCUUGACCAUAUCCAUGAAAAUAUAAAGGAUGAUCAGCUCAAGACACAUGCCCAAGGCCAUGGGGACUGUUGCAUUGCCCACAGAGUGUUUUCUGGUGUGCAAUGGGGAACGGGGUUUGGCUGGCAUGAAUUCCUAGGCAUCAACUCUAAUGAGAUGUUUGGAGCGGUUUACAGGGGCUCAGAGACUUGAUGCUGAUUAAAAGUUAUGCAGUGAACGCUGCGAUGAGAGGCAAGAAUCCCUGAAGCAAACGUCCAUUCGCAGGCGUCCAUUAGUUUCCUGCUUUCACAUAAAGAGAUUUGAGCACUGCUGAGCAAAAGUUCAGUUUCCUUUGAUGAUAUUUAUUGGUAGCCUUUUCACAACCUUGACAAAGACGUAUACAAAGAUGAAGCCAUAUGAAUAUGGAUUCCGUGUGUUAUUGUUGAUAUUCUGUUAUGUUAUGGUCUCACUGGGAAGUUCACUGAUACAGCUACAAGCAGAUUUAUAUUGAUUGCUCUUGUCUAGCAAUUCUUAAGAUGAUACAUCAAAAUUAAAUGUAUGAUCCCAUAAAGUUGUGAUUUUACUCUAUGCAUAUGGUUGUGUAAUCAACAUAAUAACUUUGUCCUUUGUGUGAA